GAUAAAUCACGUGUUUUUAUGGCACUUUAAAUCCAUAUCCACCUUGUGUGCAAUGUCAUCUCACUGGGGUUACGUUUGUAAAAUUUCGUGAUCCGUUUGGGAUUUAUAUCUACUCAGAACUUUAGUCAUUUUGUCUGAAACAUAUUAUGAAUAACUUAAUUCAAAAUACAACUUUCAACAACGGAUCUCUUGGCUCUCGCAUCGAUGAAGAACGCAGCGAAAUGCGAUACGUAAUGUGAAUUGCAGAAUUCAGUGAAUCAUCGAAUCUUUGAACGCAUAUUGCGCUCUCUGGUAUUCCGGAGAGCAUGCUUGUUUGAGUAUCAGUAAACACCUCAACUCCCUUUCUUCUUGAAAUGGAGCUGGACUUGAGUGAUCCCAACGCUUUAUUCAUAAAGUGGCGGGUUACUUGAAAUGCAGGUGCAGCUGGACUUUUCUCUGAGCUAUAAGCAUAUCUAUUUAGUCUGCCUCAAAAACAGAUUAUUACCUUUGCUGCAGCUAACAUAAAGGAGAUUAGUUCUUGUGCUGACUGAUGCAGGAUUCACAAAGACCGCUUCGGCUGUCUUUGUAAACUCGAUCUCAAAUCAAGUAAGACUACCCGCUGAACUUAAGCAUAUCAAAAGCGGGGAAGGAAUG
rnacentral:rRNA from 1 species